GGUCUAUUAGUCUAGUUGGUUAGGACGUCGGAUUCUGAUCGUACUCAGUGUCUUCCGUAGGCCCAGGUUCGAAUCCUGGAUGGACCU
rnacentral:tRNA from 1 species